UACAGAGGGGGCAAGCGUUGUUCGGAAUUACUGGGCGUAAAGGGCGCGUAGGUGGCCUUCUAAGUUGAACGUGAAAUCCCUGGGCUCAACCCAGGAACUGCGUCCAAGACUGGGAGGCUUGAAUCCGGGAGAGGGAUGCGGAAUUCCAGGUGUAGCGGUGAAAUGCGUAGAUAUCUGGAGGAAUACCGGUGGCGAAGGCGGCAUCCUGGACUAAUACUGACGCUGAGGCGCGAAAGCUAGGGGAGCAAACAGG
rnacentral:rRNA from 1 species